AAACCAACAGGGAUUGCUCUAGUAACGGCGAGUGAAGCAGCAAUAGCUCAAAUUUGAAAUCUGGCGUCUUCGACGUCCGAGUUGUAAUUUGUAGAGGAUGCUUCUGAGUAACCACCGACCUAAGUUCCUUGGAACAGGACGUCAUAGAGGGUGAGAAUCCCGUAUGCGGUCGGAAAGGUGCUCUAUACGUAGCUCCUUCGACGAGUCGAGUUGUUUGGGAAUGCAGCUCUAAAUGGGAGGUAAAUUUCUUCUAAAGCUAAAUAUUGGCCAGAGACCGAUAGCGCACAAGUAGAGUGAUCGAAAGAUGAAAAGCACUUUGGAAAGAGAGUUAAAAAGCACGUGAAAUUGUUAAAAGGGAAGGGAUUGCAACCAGACUUGCUCGCGGUGUUCCGCCGGUCUUCUGACCGGUCUACUCGCCGCGUUGCAGGCCAGCAUCGUCUGGUGCCGCUGGAUAAGACUUGAGGAAUGUAGCUCCCUCGGGAGUGUUAUAGCCUCUUGUGAUGCAGCGAGCGCCGGGCGAGGUC
rnacentral:rRNA from 1 species